GGAAUAGACGCAGGUGGAGGUGCUGAGUUUUAACCACACAUGGUUUCCACGGAGUCGUGGUGGCACAUCCCAGCCAGAACAUGCUGCAGAAGCCUCUGCUUGGCUGGUUUCCCGCCCCUGCUCGCAGAGAUCCAGCAAAGCAUGUGGAAAACAACAGCACCUGAAGAAAGCAGGAAUUAAAACUCUGACUCUGAGUUUGCUCCGGAACAUUUGCUCCUGAAUCUCUCCACCUGUAGAAAGUGCCAGAUAUCAAGAUAUUCCUAUCUGAAGAAGCUUCCUGGCUUCAAGUCUAUCUCCAUCAUUUGCUUUAAAAGAGGUGAAAUAUCUGGGAAAGAAUAGCACAAAAAAAAGGGAAAUAGCUGACCAAUAAACUACCUUGAAAGCAUCCAGCCUGGAUCUCAGCUGCAAACUUUCCCUGGGACACCGCAUACUCUUCUGACAUCUUGCAACUCUAGGAUAAAGGAAUGUUUCC